rnacentral:rRNA from 1 species
GAAGUGGCUAGUCUAACCGCAAGGAGGACGGUCACCACGGUAGGAUUCAUGACUGGGGUGAAGUCGUAACAAGGUAGCCGUAUCGGAAGGUGCGGCUGGAUCACCUCCUUU